GGGCCCGCACAAGCGGUGGAGCAUGUGGUUUAAUUCGAUGAUACGCGAGGAACCUUACCAGGGCUUAAAUGUUAGGUGACAGAUCUAGAAAUAGAUUUUUCUUCGGACACUUAACAAGGUGCUGCAUGGUUGUCGUCAGCUCGUGCCGUGAGGUGUCAGGUUAAGUCCUAUAACGAGCGCAACCCCUGUUGUUAGUUGCCAGCGAGUAAUGUCGGGAACUCUAGCAAGACUGCCAGUGCAAACUGUGAGGAAGGUGGGGAUGACGUCAAAUCAUCACGGCCCUUACGUCCUGGGCUACACACGUGCUACAAUGGUAGGUACAGAGAGCAGCCAAUGCGCGAGCAUGAGCAAAUCCCAAAACCUUCUCAGUUCGGAUCGGAGUCUGCAACUCGACUCCGUGAAGUUGGAAUCGCUAGUAAUCG
rnacentral:rRNA from 1 species